rnacentral:rRNA from 1 species
AUACGUAGGUGACAAGCGUUAUCCGGAUUUACUGGGCGUAAAGGGCGUGUAGGCGGUCUUGCAAGUCAGAAGUGAAAUUCCUGAGCUCAACUCGGGCGCUGCUUCUGAAACUGCAGGACUUGAGUGCUGGAGGGGAUAGCGGAAUUCCUAGUGGAGCGGUAAAAUGCGCAGAUAUUAGGAAGAACACCGGUGGCGAAGGCGGAUCUCUGGACAGUAACUGACGCUGAGGCGCGAAAGGGUGGGGAGCAAACAGGAGUAGAUACCCUGGUAGCCCACGCCGUAAACGAUGAAUACUAGGUGUAGGGGGUAUCGACUCCCUCUGUGCCGCAGUUAACACAAUAAGUAUUCCACCUGGGGAGUACGGCCGCAAGGUUGAAACUCAAAUGAAUUGGCGGGG